CGACCCGCCUCGCUGCCCGGCGAGUCUCCCCGCAGCCCUUCGGCGGCCCGCGGGGCCCCGGCUGGGCCCGCGUUGCUCUCCCGCCGGCGGCGCCGUGGGAGGCCGUCGCCCCCCUCCCCGCCCCGCCCCGCCCCGCUCAACGGUCGCGCCGCGGCCGUUGGCCUCCCGCCUCGGCGCGAGCAGCGCGGCCCCCCCCCCCGCCACUGCCACAGCCCCCAGCGCGGGGUGGCGGCCCUCCACCUAGCGCCCCCGCGACCGCGCCGCCCACCCCUGCCCGCCUCCGCCGCCCGCGGCCAGCCCAGGCCUCGCCGGGCCCCACCGGGGCACCCGCUGGGCAGGCGCCUCGCCGCCUGUGGCCCUCACCGCCCCAGCACCGACCGCGCUGGAGGCUGGUGUGAAAUUCUUAUACUAGUGAUGGUCAAUAGAGUCUGAAUCCUUCAUGUUAUUGGACUUGCCUCUUCAGAAGAUUUUUGUGAGUGUACCCUGAUUUGGUACCUUCCUACAUUAGGCUUCAUUCCUACAAUCCUCCUGGGCAAGCAGAGACAGUUAAAGCAUACCUGUAUAAUGAGGGUUUAAGCAAGGCAGUGAAAGUUAGACUCUCAGUCUCCUCUUCUGGACUUUGCCCAAGAAGACUUCCUGAAAGGACAAUUUCACCUUGUUCCAGUUCCAUGUCUUAAAUUGCAGCAAGACCUGCUCUCAGAUCUUGAGGCAUCUGACAGAAGUUAAGAAAAAUCUAUUAGUUCUGUGAGAAGAAAGGAACAUUAUGGCCUGGUUUCAACAAGGAACUUCUAUAUCAUAUCUGUCUGAAAGACAGUAAGCAUCAAGUGGCAGAAGAGCCCCCCACCCUCAAGUAAUUUGUUCCACAUUUAAUUAAUACCUACUUGAACCAUCAUACGUCUGAAAUUUACCAUGGUGCAGCAUAUGUCCAUGUGCAGUCAGACAAGCUGCAGGAAGUCAUUAGGUUUGUAUAAGUCUAAUAGACUAUAGAAACCAAACAAUGAACAAGAAGAGCCUGGAAGAGAGCAAUGAGUUCAAGCUGGCGUCAACCCACGUAUUCCUUCCCAUCAACUAGGAAUGCCCAGUGUUGUGACGGUUAGCAUAUUAUAGAGAUCCAUAAGGAGAAUCACAUUUGUAUUGUGAUUCAACUGCAUAUUACAACAGCUAUACUCUGCUAAGUAUAAUUUGUACCUGUAUUAUGUUUUAACUACAUUGCUCACUCAGUCUGCUAAAUCAAAGUCCCAUGUAAUUGUAAGGGCCCUGAGGGCACUAAUGGGCCUUAAUAGCAAUGACUACCCUUCCCUGGGGCCUCCCUUACCCUGCCCAGGCCCAGGACCCCAUUUCAGCCCAGCCCCAGGCUGUCAGUCCCUGCCCCACAAUGCCACAGCAGUGUCAGUCUCCAGCCCUGCCACAGCCCUGUUCCUGCCCAGCCAUGGGCCGCCCUGGCCCUGAGCUGCAGCCAACUGCUCAGCCUCAGCUCUGCCCAGGCUGUACCUGAUCCUGGUUACCCUCACCAGACAUGUUCCUGCCAUGCAGACUGACUUCCUGGCUUCACCUCGAGCCUGUCUCAUCACCAUGAACCAUGAGCCCUGGCUGGUACAGCCCCUGCCUUACCAGACAGAUUAUUGCUCUUGGCUUCCUGUCCCUUGGGGAGCAGUGGCCCUUGAUCCCUGACAGUAACUUCAAUUAGGUAAACUUUGUACUAAACGUUAAACCUUCCAUGUGUGGGGGUUAUCUAAAAGAACCUGGUCAGAGAGCAUUGGACUCUGACACCUCCUCUGCAAACUAUUGCUGUGAACUUUAUUCUAAUGAACAGAGUAAGGCAAAUACUACUUAGUUUUAACAUGACACACAGAACAUACCAUGGUAUAGAAUAUGUAGGGAGACCUCACACAUUUAAAUAGAAUAUGCAGUAACUAAUACACAGUUCUAAUGAUGAUGCAGUACUGUGGUAAGCUAGUAUGAUACUUAACAGACAAAGCAUUUCCAGUAAGUAGGAAAUGAGUCUAGUACUACCUGUUUUAUUUUUGUUUUUCUUCUGUUAGCCACUUAAUUCUCCUAGGAUUCUAUUUGUACAUGUAUUGGUUUCCCUGGGAUAGGCAUAUCUGUUUGCUCUGCCCACAGGCUUACCUGCUCGUAUAGCAGCUACUGAACCCUGUAAGAUACUACAGCCUGAUAUACUAGGGAAAAGCAAAUUUGAUUUUAGUUCACGUUAGAGCACAGUAUAUCAAAACUGUGUCUGUUGAGCUGUUCCUUCAGAAAGAGCACAACCAUUCCUCAAACACAGAUGACAUUCCACAAGAGAGGAAGGACAAGAGAGCUGGGGCAUCAGGAGCCCUCCUGUUAUCCUAGAAUCCCCAGAGCAAUGAGAUCCUACCAGCCUGAGCUCAUCUCCUGUGCCUCUUAUCAACAGAGCAUCUGCAGUGGUGAAGACUCCAAAAAUGGCAUUAUCCCCAUCUUUCUACUCAGUCCUUGAGAAGUCUGCAGCAGUCUGUAACAGCCAGUCAAGGGAGUCCUCCCAAAGUAUGUGCCAUGAGCAUAUGCAUAAGCUUGCUGUUCCUUCUCCAUUGCACUCUUGUGUGGCCACACUCAAAUGCAGAAGAGGAUUUACUCAGCAAGCACCACAGUAUUACUUCUGAAUGAGAAGGAACAGAAGCAAGCCAGGUACAGGAUCAGGAAUAGAAAAGGCAUGAUGGUGGUUGGGGUAGGGACCAUCACCUCCAGGAGACAGAUGAAAGUAAAGUAUGAUGCUUUCCAGUGACCUGCUUUCCUCAUCAAAGUUUGUCCUCAUAAAGCUCUCCCUGGUUCAAAGGAUUUGAACUUUGGGUUCAAACCCUCAAAGUGCUAACAGUGAAAAUGUCACGUACUCAGCACUACCUGUUUCAAACCACUCCUGUUGCACCUACUUGCUAAAGUAGUUAGAGCCACUUUCUCCAUAACAGGCUUACACCAAAUAAACAGUCUGUACUGAACCUUUAAGCCAUACAAAGUAGUAAGAUCAAAAUAUGGCUUUAAAAUCAAAUACCUACUAUUACUGAAUAAAAUGAUUCACUUCAGUUACCAAUUGAUAUUUUACUUCCCACACAUUACUACAUGGCUUAAUGGUAAUAUUCCAGUAAUCCUUUGUGCAUCUUUAAUACAGACACUAAAAAUAUUAUCUGCAGUUUUGAUAAAGGUGUACAGCUUCCAUCAAACCCUUUUAAUUAAGAUCAUAAUGCUAGUUUAAAUGCAAGAAUCUGUACAAAACUGUCAUAUUUCUCCCUGGUGAAUUACAAACUCCUUUGAAACAUCUUGAUUAGAAGCUUGAAAGAAGGAAAACCGUUCAAAUUUUAAGUCAGAUUCCUUAUGCUGACCAGCACAGCAAUACAUUGCAAAAAUUCUCUUGAUCAAGACUGCAUAUUUAUAAUCUUUCUAAGUACUGGUGAAUAAUGGUCGUAAAAAUGGCAUUGUUUUCUAUGAAAUACCAGCUGAUACAGGAGACAAUAGUGAAAUUAGAAACCUACGAUACAGAAUUUCCUGUAAGAACAAGCAAGAAUUACUAGUCUUUGUAGCACUAGAUGACUAUACAGGCAUAAGAGGUAAUUGCUUCUGCUCUCACCGUGUAUCCUGCAGAAUUGUAGGCAGAAGCCAGAUCUGAUCUCUUGCUGCUGUUGGGCAGUUAUGCCUAAUCUGAAGAGAAUCUGCCUCCAAAAAUAAGUCUGCCACUUGCUACCAGGAAGCAGACAUUUUAGUGGUUAAGAAUGAAGUGUAGGGUGUUUUUUUAAUGAUAAUACUUGAUUAUAGAGUGAAUGCAUUUGGACAUCAAAUACAUGGCGAGAAGACUUCACCACAUGUAAAAGUGAUUAUAAGACUACAAAUUAAAAAAAGAAAGGUAGAGGAACUGUUGUUUUAUAGGCUAUUUGCAUCUGCAUCAUAUUUUUUUUUACAGCCUUAGUAAUACCUAGUUACCUUUGGUUUUUUACUGUAAAAGACACAUUCCCUAGGUUACAGAAAAGAGAUUCGUGAAACAUACCUCUCUGCAAGGCAUAAACUGCAAAGGCAAGAAAUAUCAGAACACGUAUUCUACCACUCCAUGUACAAAAAAUAUUACUAGCCUAAUUUGCUGCCAGGAGCAUGAUGGUAUUUUGAUCACAGCCCUGUAGUUCAAGUGCUAAACAAGAAGUGGAAUAUAUUUUCAGCAUACCUGGAAUGGCUAAAGGACAGCAACAGGACAGCCUUUUCCCUUACCACUGAUAAAGGGUAUGCUUUAUAAUUUUUUAAAUUAAGAUAUUUUUAUUAGGAGAAAGAAUGCUUAUGGUCUUCCAUAUUCCACGUUCUCCUGAUUGACAUGAUAGGAACUAGGGGCAAUUGCCAUCAUAUUUAAUGUGGUAUUGUUUGACAACAAAAGGAAAUUAUAUGAGAACAUACGCAUGAAGACAAAAUUAACUAAGUGUUAAAUGGCAGUACCUGGAGUGCGUAAGGCUGAAAGGAUGACCCUAAGGAAGUGAAUGGAGGCAAUGAGAGAUGACUAAACUUUGUAUAUAUACACAAGAGGAAGACAAGAAGAAGGGAUUGAGGGAGGAGAGAAAGAAGGUUGAGGAAACACAGGGUUGGGAAAAGAGAGUUUUUAUAAUACUCUUCAUGGUUGAAUAGCUAAUAGCUUAGCUAAGAAAAGGAGGAGUGUUGCAUUUGUGGGGAAUCCCAAAGGCAAAAAGGACUGCUUAUACAGGGCUUUGAGUGUGCAAAGAUGCUCCUAAGAAGGAGGUGGCACAUGCUGUCUUUUUGGCAUAUGAAUGGAAACUAGAAACACUGGGACAGCCUGGAUAACAAGCAAAACCUGAGGAGUGGGAACAGCAGGGACGUCUGGUUCCUGGAUAUGAAAAAGCAGAGUCAGUUCUACAUUUUGUCUUAUGAUUAUCUCCUCCCAUUGCUGACACCAUUACCUGCCUGGUUCUCCAAAUCCUCUUUUCCUACUUGUAUACCUGUAUAAAGCGUCAUACUUUGGCUCAAAUGUUGGACGAUUUUUCCUUAUGUCCACAUCCUCUGCAGAGCCAAUCUAUUGCCUUAGUAAACUAAACGUAACAAUAUAUGUAAAAGUAAGCUAGCAAUUUAGAUAUUUAAGAAAAGCUCUCAAAAGCAUCACGACUGUAAGAUACUUGAUGGUUAGCAAGAGCUACAUUUGGUUACCUGGAUAGAUAUUUUUAACUUGCCAAUAGGAAUCUUAUUCUCCAAGACUUGACCUAUUGGUAUCACUGGAGUUUCCUGGGUCAUAAUGAGGGAAAAGCUUGUUCCUGAACUUCCUGAAGCAGGAGUAACAGGAACUCAAGCCAUCCUUCUCCCAUCUGCAGAAAAUGAGUAAUUUAAGAGUAUUCACUCUAAAUGUACCUUAUAAACUGAAGUGCCUCCGACAAUCCAAACCAUGUCUACUUUACUUUUUAAUUCUGGUGAAUCCAGAAGAGCUAAAGCAUCAUCCAGACUUUUGGAAAGAUAAUGUGCUCCCUUUGGGGUUUCCCUAGAAAAACAAAGUUUUAUUACUUAACUUAAAGGACAUUCAUCAUGAUAAUCAAUACAAAUCUAGACAUACAAUGUAUUUUGCUGAAUUUACAAGUGACUAAAUCUUUCACAUUAGUUUACUAUUUUGAAAUGCCUAUUAUUGCUAAAUCAUUUUAGAAUUCUCACCUGACUGCAGUAUGCUUAAUAAAUCAGAAUUCAAUCAUAAAUGUGACUUAAAAAGCAUUAUAAGUUAUAGAUCUGAAGUUUUGUAUCAGAUGGGAAAAAAAAAGCAUAAGUGAAGAACUUAAAUAUCUAUAUAUCUAACCAAAUAUGGACUUCUACCCAAUUCUAAAGCAUUAAUAUUUUCCCAAUAAAACUUGUCAAAAAAAAGCCCCUUAUGCUCCACACCUCAUAUUCAGCCAAAAACCCCACCAAAGCUUUCCAAAGCAAUAAACCACUAGAAGCAAACAUUUCUAUUUAAGAAUGUUUGGAUGAUUGUGGGUGAUGCAUUCAAGAAGAAAGCUCUGAAAAAGGACAUGUUCUUUUCCCUUAAAUGCUAAUAAAAGUAAGCCUCAAGAAAAGUGAAUAAUGAAGUCAGUAACCAGAAACUAGAGCAAUAGAAUUAAAUACAUGAGUCAUAAGGACUAAUGACAUGAUGGUUUCUAUGUAGAUCCAGGACUAGUAUUUAUUUUAUGCAUAGAAGAAUAAAGUAACAAUAUCAUGCAGAAACAACAGGAGAGAUUUUCUAAACAGAUAUAAAAAUACUACAUUUAGAAUUACUUUAUAAAGUCAUGCUGUUUUUUGGUUUAGAUUUGUUAUUUGUUUUACAGACUCAUAACUCUUCAGAUACAUACUUGAGCUCUCUGCUGAGCACUAUAUUAAUUCUGUCUUUUAAAGGACGAUUCUUCUCAGGAAUGGAAAACCAGGUAUUUUUACCCAUUAUCAGUGCAUUCUGUUUACCUGAGUAAGAGAGAAAACAUUUAUUUAAAGAGAAUUUCUUCUCUGUAUUAAACUUGCUUUGGUAGUUUAGUGACAUCUACUGGACUUUACCUCCUCCUUCUGAGCUCAAUUUCAGUAGUUAGCAAAAGAACAAGUUUAGGCUCUGAUUCUGAAGUUAUUCACAUGCAUAGAAGAACAUGUUUGUGCCUAAAGCCUUCGUAGGCAGCUAACACCAAACCAAAGUAGUCUUAUGCACAGCUGUAAACUUUCAAUUGAAAGAGCAUCAACAAGUUAUGUUACAUGUAGUAUACUGCCCUUGGCUCAGCUAUGUCUAUGGGGACAAAUUCAUGCCAGUGUGUGAGACCAACUCACAUCCUCAAAGUCGUUCUCACAAUGUGAAUAAAUAUUCUUGUUCUCUGCAUAAAUCCCAAAGCAGCAUGGAAUAGUCUAUUUUGUGUUUGUAUGUUUUAUCAUUCUAGUUACGUGAUCAGGAAUAAUUGCCACAGCUUUAAGGACAACUUUUAGAAGAAAAAUCAGCUGAAUUUAAUCCAAAAACAGAGGUGUAACAGAUGUUCAAACAUAUUCUAGAAUUCACCCAUAAAUAUUAUUUGUGAUCAACAUUCAUAAGCUCAUUAUUUCUCAUAUAUAUCCUAUCAAGAAGGUUAUCAGCAUUUCCCUUUAUGAGCAGAUAGAGUAGCCAGAGAAACGAACAUGGAGAGUGAGAGACUCAUACAAGGUAACACAGAAAGUUUCUUAAUGCAGUAGAAGGGAUUUUGGAAAGAAUGAGAUUUGUUCACAGCUAACUCUUCCUGCUUUGGUCUGAGAGGUCUUUUCUGGUUUGGUUUGAGAGAUGCUGAAUCUAUUAUAUCACACCAGAGAACUGAUGUUUCAAAUGUGUAUGAGAACUGCCUAAACGCCUUUUCCUGUAGAUAGUGUGCUCUAUUCCUAAACUUCUCUUUCCAAGAGAUUUACCGCACUGUCAGUUCAGAUACAUUAGCACAGACCAGUGGCAUCACUGUCAAAGACGAGGCACAAACUGUUUAGGAAAGUAUGCUUUCUCUUACUGAAGAUCCAUACUGGGAUGCAUACUGGAUCAGAACAAAGGUCCAUUUAGACGAAUAUCUAUUUUUUCAGCAGUGGCCACAGCAGUUAUGCAAGCAGAUCAAAAGCAGGAUCAAGUGAUGCUUCUCCACUGUAUUCUUCCCACUUUCAAAAAUCUGUGACUGGGACUUUUUUGAGCCAAAUGUGGCAGCCCUCCUGUUGAGUUUCAUGGAAGCAUAAUCCAUCAAGAGCUCUGGUUAUGAAGCAGCUUCACUGUUUGGCAUCUAACAUCAUAGCUUAUCAAAAGAUUUGCAUGCAGGAUAGAGUAAACUUUUUAUUAUUUAUAUUUAAAACAUCUGUUGUUGGUUAUGGGUUAUUUGUGUCAUAAAAUGGAAUUUGUAGACAUAUA